AAAAACGUCAAAAAUCCCCAUGAAAUGUGAAAAAGAGCAACAAAAGAAUCUAAAAUAAGGGAAAGACAUUUUCUAAUCUCAGUAACAUGAAAAACAUGAGACAUGGAUGGGAGAAUACAACAAACAACGAAAUUGCCAAGAAAUGAAAAGAACACGAAGAAGAAGAAAAAAAAAAACCUGGUGGAAGAUUCCAAAGAAGAAAAAUAAAACAACACUCAUUACCAAGAAAUAUACCCAUAGCAGGGAUAUAACAAAAAAAAUUAAACAGAACAAACGACUUGUGACGACAAUGAUAUUCCAGCCAGCUUUGAGGUGAGCAAAAUUUCCAUUAAAAAAUUCAAGCUUCUUUAAGGUGUUUUUUCAAAUGCAUAAAUUCUAAAUGAAAAAUACUAAAAUCAGCCAAAUUAAAAUAA